ACACUUAUCAAAUACAACUGGAUCUGCUAGAGAAGCAGCCUCACCGUCAUUCCACAGCUUCCAUGCCUGUAAAAACCCAAGUUUUCAAGGACCAAACCCGCCUUGUCCAAGCUUGUUUCUUAAAGAGAAGUUAUCGGUGGAUGUUGCUAACACUUGAAAAUCAAAUAGUGGAAGCUCCUUGAGCUUGAUUUGGCUAGAAGCAGACUCAUUGUCACUUGUAAGUGCUUCCAUUCUCUUAAACAAUAUCUCCGCACUUCUAUCUUUCACUGGCUCUGCUAAGGCAAAUGAUCAAUGAAACAAACAAGUUGUGAUAAAAGAAACAAUCUGAAGCCAACAUGUAUAACUGUAUACAAAAAUCUAACCUGGACGCUUUUUGAA